UUCUGAGUGUAGAAAAUAUUCAAGGUCUUAUGACUUUUCUUUUUACCCCUCUCUAUCCUUCUGUGAAAAUAGUAUCACUGGGGAUUCCAGCAAGUUGCCAUGAACCCAGUAUGUCAACUUCAAAUGCACUUGGUCUAACUUGAUAAGCACUGCGUCACCAGAGUACUCGCUCUUGGCCAUUGUGCUGUGCUGCCUUCCAUGGCACUUGGUUGAACUUUUGAAGAACAGAAGAUGUGUUUCCAGGCAGAUAUGGCUCAGCUUCUGAUCUUCAAUAAGAUAUCCUGCCUGGGCAACUGGACUUGGAGAAAUGUCAGACUUCCAUCACAAUCUACAAGUAAGCUGAGAAGUUCUGCUGAUCUUGGCUUGUCUUAGUCAUGGACCUGCGGUCAGCUGUGUGUCAGAUUGGAAAGCCCUCCUUUGGUGUGUCAGCGACUGCGGAGCAGGAGCUUUGUCUUGCAUGUGUUGCGUCAGAAGCCUGAAUGGAUCUGCGUCCCCAAAGUAUGGAUGCUGGUGACUGACGACCGAGAGCUCUGCCAGGCUAUUGUGAAAGAGACCGUCUACUGUCUUAAAAAUUAUACCAUGGCUUUAUGAAUGAAGACAAAAGCAAAAACUCCAUCCAAAAUGGCUGAAUCUAGUCCAGGUGCAAUUGUACUUGUGUUGAUAUGAUGUCUGGAGCUGGAGCAUGAGCUGGAGCAUAUAACCAUGAGAUGACAAGCAAAAAGAUAAAAGUCAACACUGUUAAAAUGGUGGAGAAGAAUGGAAAGAGCCUUGGUCCCUGAUGGCCUCUCGGAAUAGCUAAACCAAUGCUGGAAAAUGCCUACCUUUGAACUUAUUGUUAUUUAACAAAAGUAAAUUGUAUUUGCUUGUCAUUUUGUCACUUAUAAUCAAAUCCACUCUUAAGUACAACUUAAAUAUUAAGAAGUAUGUUUUUGUGUGUAUGAAUGUAUAUGCCUUUUAGUUUUUCCUCUUCCAUUUAUUAUGAAUGAUGAGGUUUGCUUCAAUAUAUAAAUGUAGAUUUCUUCUCAUGCCCAGCUACCAUUGGAAGUUUUCAGGGAGAAAAAUGGAGAAAGAAAAGGUGAAAACAAAAACGACAGAAAAGAAGAGGUUGUGGGAAAGAAGUGUAGGAAGCGUUAUCUUGAAAGAAAAACUAGAAGUAAAUUUUAAAAAGAGACAAAUUUAAAGUACAAUAGUAAACUUGAAAAUGUAAUAUAAAUAUAAUGUAUAUGCCUAAUUAUCUGCAUUAGUCUCUGUGUGUAUUAAUUUAUUCAAAAAUAUUUUUAAAUGACUAUGAUAACAUUGAUUUGCAAAGAUGUGCAUUUCUGGAAGAAUGUGAUGAAGCUCAGAGGAAUGAAGGCACAUCUGAUGAUGUGUGUGCAUGUUUCCACAAGAUGUGUCUGCCCACUCUAUGGAGGCUCUCUUUUGAGAAUUCUCAGCCAUAUCAUAGUUUUCUCCAACUUGUCAAAGUGAACUGUGUAUGUAAAAGAAAAGUGCUCCUUGGGGUGAGCAGGGUGAUACAUGAGGCCUCAAAAACUCAGGUGAUACCAGCCUGAAAGAUGGCGCUGUGUGGGACAUGCUUUGCAGACUCUCAGAGCAAUGUCUUCCUUCCAUGAUGCCAGGAUGGGACAGGCCUGGUGACCAGUGUGCACCAAACUUUUAAAAGAGAAAAGAACUGAAUUGUACAUUUGUUGGUGAAAAUUAAUGUUAUUCUUACAGCAUUUAUAAUUUGAAAAUAAAGGGGGAGAUAAAUUGUAUUUGAAAAGGCCCUACAUAGUCAAUCUUGUCACUUCCUUCAGAAAAAAAUAUGUAUUCCUCUAAUUCCUUCCCUCCCAUAUAUCCUCACCUCGUCACCUCUAGGAGAAGUGUACUCCGAAAAUUCUUUUAAUGGAUGUAUACAUAAUAUACAUUUAUUGCCAAAAACACAGAAAUUUAUUUUUUAAAAUUUACCUAUCCUCAGAGGUAUACACUGGGUACAUUUUUGUGUAUUUCCUUUCAAUCAUGUGUCUGCAUGUCUAUUUAUCUCUCUUUUC
ensembl:lncRNA